CCCAGGGUAUCUCUGGGGCUCAUCUGUCCAUGUGAGUUCUACACACACACACACACACAAGUGCGUGUGUCGUGGAGGCAGGUGAAGACUUAACUCUCUCAAUGUUUAAUAGGCUGUGACAGUGAGAUGCUCUCAAAUGUCUCAUGGCUGCCCCCAACAGCUUUGGGUUGAUGUUAAAUAGCAGUGGCAACAAGGCUUAGCUGCAAAAGGGCAGUGGGAGGAAACCGAGGGGUCUCCUGGAUCCAGUCCGCUUGUGACCACCAAUGAUUACACAUCAUUUGUGGCAUUUGUUGCCACUUUGGACAGCCUUUUCUAAGCAAUGUUAGAAUGUGGUUUCUACAUUAUCACAGCCCUGUCGAAAGCAGAAAGUAUGGCUCACGGGGAGGACACAAGGAGGACAGCUCUGUCUUGAUGCUGGGGGUGGUGGUAAGGCAGGCUGAUCAGCACUGACCAGAGCAGGCCCCUUUGUGGCACCUGCUUAAAUGGAAGCUGCUGCAACAAAGGACCUUCCUCUGUCUGCAAAGGAAUGUGUGUUUUUUCAGCUUGGCCAUCAGGUGACAGGUGAGAGGCCCCAGCCAACUGUUAAAAUGGUCCACAAGGGUGGGGGAGUUCAGGAUUCACCCCUUUUCUGUGAGAGGAGAGCUUUGCAGUCCUCCAAGUGAGGGGUGAGGAGGCUUGUGCUCACCUUGAAUCUGUCUCUCCCUCCAAGCUUUUCUGUGGCUUCUCCCCAGGGUGGAUUCUUUGAGGAGUCAGGUGUGGGUUCAGACGGAAGCUCCUUUUCUCUUCUUUUUGCAGGGUGCCUUGAGUGAAUCCAGUUUUGGGCUUUGGUGCUUUUUCCAUGCAUCCACAAACCACCUUUGGCACUUGGCAUGAGACUUUUGGUUUCCUUUCUCAUUUCCUUCUUUUCUGUAGAUCUCUCCAAAGCAUUGAUUGCGUAUUAAUGAAAUCCUGCAGGCUGUGAUCAGGUCGGCACAUAGCGUAGACUACAAACUGGCUAAAGUCAUCAUCAAACUGGCUGCUGAAGAUAUGCUGAGGACCAGAAAACAAGGAGACUGGCUUUGGAAUAGCAGCCGUGAGCAAGGCAGGCAGCCAAGGCAGCUCUUAACAUUUGCAAGAUGGGAAAGGUGAGGAAUGGUCAGGAAACUCUGGCAGAAAGACAACAGAACUAUGGGAAUUGCUGGAAUUGCUCAUCUCAAGACCCCCCCUCACUUCUCCAUUGACCAAAAAGGUAUAAAAACCCCACAUUCCAAAAAGUCACUUGGCUCUUCUAGCUGCAAGAGAGAAGGACUUACUCAGUGCUCCUAAGGAAUCAGUGCACAUCUGCUUCACCUAAGGACAGCUAUGGACUUUCUCACCCCCUACAUUUCUUGGCUUGAUAUUAAUGCGAGUUUUCGGGCAAAACUGUCCCUUUCUGUAGGCUUUUGGGAUUUUCCCACUCUUUAGAUCAAGGUGCAUAUGUCUUGUAGGAUCUGCUGCCUGCUUAAAUUGUCAUUUUGCUGCCUGAAGCAGCAUUUAUAUAUAUUCUGUCACUUUCAUUUCAUAUAAUAAACCAAUCUUUAUAU